AGGAGAACAUUGUUUGAUGGUAAAACAGUUGCCUUUUAAGCAGCCCGCGUUUGGUUUGAUUCCAACUUCUUCUA
rnacentral:tRNA from 1 species